UCCGCGUCCCCCAGAGAAGGGCCUGAGCGCAGCCUCGCCCCCAGUGCCCACAAUGUCACCCCACCCCGGCUGUAUCCGCUGUCACCCCGCCUCGGGAACGCGCCCGGCUCCGGGGUGCGGCCCCACGUCGCGGAAGUGUGGGGGGGGGACGCCGCUGACUCACCCCGGCGUCAGCCGCCUCGGGGGCCUCCCGCGGCCGCCUGUGACCACCUGUGACCGCCUGUCGCCCUCCUCAGGUCGCCCCCGGCGCCUCGGCCCGACCCCGCAGCACCGAGGCGGCGCCCGAUGUCCCCUCGGAGCCGCCAGCGUUCGACGCCGCCUCGCGCUACAAGGACAAGCCCUGGGAGUACCUGGAGACGGAAGAGUACCAGGCCACGUACGGCGACAAACCCGUCUGGUUCGGCUACCGCCGCAACCACAAAGGCUCCGUGCCGCCCCAGAAGACGCGCAAGACCUGUUUGCGCAAGGGCAAGUCGGUGGGAAACCCCUGCCCCAUCUGCCGCGACCGUAACCUCUUCCUGGAUUUCCGGAACGUGAAGCUCUUGGACCAGUUCAUCUGCCCUCACUCGGGCGUCGUCUACCACCCCACGUACACAGGUGAGGCCGGCGCCCUUGGGUGCCAUCGGGGUGCUGCCGGGGCGCCGCGGCCGCCGCUCUCACCCGUCCCCUCCCUCCUU
rnacentral:lncRNA from 1 species